AAGACUUCAAUACUAUCCAGAGGAUUCUGAUAACAUCCUAAACCAGGAGUGUGGAGUUUGUAUGGCCUGUGUCAUCACCAAAGGGCAUAAGAUACACAGAACAUAUCUAUUGUUUGGUUUAUAUGAAGAGUAAAACAGCCUAGUUUAUGGACAAACCAUGACAUUAAACAGCUAACCAGGGACAUGGACUUAUAAAACAGAUGAUGCAUGGUAAUUGCCUGCCCCCAAAAUUCAGUGCUGAUCACUACUCUGGGGAUGCGACUCAAAUUGGCUUGUAGAUGACAGGCAGCCAAACGCAUCUGGGUUAUCAGCUAAAAACCAUUCAGAACCAAGCAGAUUGAAAAAGUUGUUUCCUGAAGUUUUUCCUUCAUGCAACUGUCUUCAGAAUAAAUUGGAGCGCCACUGACCUAGAACUUAAAUUUUCACAAAGCUACACAGGUUUGUUUUUUUUAAAAGAUCAAUUUGGUUAAAGCAAUGCAAACAGUCUUUCUUAAAUUUGAUGAAUCUUUGCCUAUAAUCAUCUUUGUUUACUUUACCAAGGAGCUGGCUUAGAUUUGAUGUAAAACCAGGCUUGAAUCAAAUCAAGAAUGACCAGCAGGAAUUUGCACCAGCCCUUACUCAAUUUAAAAGACAGAGUGGGCAGAUUAGGCUGCACAGCAGCCUAGGAAUGGCAAGGGUCUAGAAUGAGGGAGCAACAGAGGCUUGUUCCACAAGGUACUUGGUGAUAGAAAUAGAAAAGGAGUAGGAUGGAGAGCAAGACACUGGUUCACGUACAAACCGGAAGAGUGAAUUAAGAUGCAAUUUGAACCUAGUUCACGUUAGUGUUAAAUCGAGAGAGGGGAGAGAGCAGAGAGAGAGCACUACAGUUAAUCUUGGUCUCAGAUUAAGAAUCAGUUGUGUGUGCAUCACUUGUAUGCAACAACAUAACACAGUAGGAAGUUCCUAUGCAUUGACCAUCUUAAAAAAAAAAAAAAACUAAAAACAAAAAAAACCAACAAUGCUUACCGACAAUAUGGAUUUCUACGGGAGGAAUAACGCAGCGUAAGAAAUCGAUAGUAAAUGAAGGGCUGAAGCAGGCUUCCCUGGCCACUGUAA